rnacentral:rRNA from 1 species
GACGAACGCUGGCGGCGUGCUUAAUACAUGCAAGUCGAACGGAAAGGCCCUGCUCUUGUGGGGUGCUCGAGUGGCGAACGGGUGAGUAACACGUGAGUAACCUGCCCCUGUCUUUGGGAUAACUUCAGGAAACUGGGGCUAAUACCGGAUAGGAGCUCCUGCUGCAUGGUGGGGGUUGGAAAGUGUCGGCGGUUGGGGAUGGACUCGCGGCUUAUCAGCUUGUUGGUGGGGUAGUGGCUUACCAAGGCUUUGACGGGUAGCCGGCCUGAGAGGGUGACCGGCCACAUUGGGACUGAGGGACGGCCCAGACUGCUACGGGAGGCAGCAGGCGGGAAUAUUGCGCAAUGGGCGGAAGCCUGAUGCAGCGGCGCCGCGUGCGGGAUGACGGCCUUCGGGGUGUAAACCGCUUUCGCCUGUGACGAGGAGUGAGUGACGGUAAUGGGUAAGGAAGCACCGGCUAACUACGUG